rnacentral:ncRNA from 1 species
AAAUAAAUACUUGCGAAGUCUAAGUCAGGGAAAACUCUGGUGGAGGAGCGUAGCGAUUCUGACGUACGAAUCGAUUUUCAAAAUGGAAACUAUUUACGAAAGACCAAUCGAAAAAACUAGUAG